AGACCCGAAACCCGGUGAUCUAGCCAUGGGCAGGUUGAAGGUUGGGUAACACUAACUGGAGGACCGAACCGACUAAUGUUGAAAAAUUAGCGGAUGACCUGUGGCUGGGGGUGAAAGGCCAAUCAAACCGGGAGAUAGCUGGUUCUCCCCGAAAGCUAUUUAGGUAGCGCCUCGUGAAUUCAUCUCCGGGGGUAGAGCACUGUUUCGGCUAGGGGGCCAUCCCGGCUUACCAACCCGAUGCAAACUGCGAAUACCGGAGAAUGUUAUCACGGGAGACACACGGCGGGUGCUAACGUCCGUCGUGAAGAGGGAAACAAACCAGACCGCCAGCUAAGGUCCCAAAGUCAUGGUUAAGUGGGAAACGAUGUGGGAAGGCCCAGACAGCCAGGAUGUUGGCUUAGAAGCAGCCAUCAUUUAAAGAAAGCGUAAUAGCUCACUGGUCGAGUCGGCCUGCGCGGAAGAUGUAACGGGGCUAAACCAU
rnacentral:rRNA from 1 species